CCAAAAAAGACCUACACCCUUUAGACUUGAGAUAACAGCCGCAACGCACGGACUACAAAAAUCCAAGGACAGUAUCGGCGAAAGCAAGAAAAGGAAAAAAGGUUUCUGUCCAACACUAAAGCUAUGAUAAUUAUUAUUUAAACUUUUUUUGGGAAAAGAGAGACAGAGGAUCUCACUUUAUUUUUGCUAAAAAGGGAAAAUCCCAUUUCUUUCCCUUCGUCACCUUACACCUGAGCCUCCAUGACUUCCGUUCCCUUCGUUCUUUUGGACUUUCCAUUUUCACAAUUUUGGACGAAAAAUCUCCUUGUUUCUUCAUCUUCGUACAACCAAAUCAAUAAGGCAGAAAGUAGAUGAUGAUUAAAUUAUCUAAAAGAAAGAUACUGGCAAAUGGGUGAAGGAAAUGGUGUGAUUUUGAUCGGACAAUGAGGUUUCCGGGUUCGGCGAGGUUCUCGUUCGUAGAUCGCGUUCGGUUUGCAAUUUUGGAGCUCUUCUUCAUUGUAAAUAUUUGAAAUUUUCAGCAAUAAAGUUUUGAUUUCAAACUCGAAAUACAUAAUCAAAUUUCAAGUUGUUCUUUUGGUCUUGGAUUCCGAAAUGGGUUGGAGUUAAAACGGGCGCACGAUUGUUGGAGUUGUCGCCCAAGGUGCGGUCCGUCGGUUUUGUUCGAUUUGGAUUUGCUAUUUUGAACCCCAUUCGUAGCUGCAUUAUUCAGUCCAUGGAUGGCUCAAAAUUAUAUUAAUUCAGGUAUGGAUAAAUUUGCUAGAGCUUAAGCAUAACAGAUACCCCAUGACAAUUGCAUUCACGAGCUACUUGAGGAGACUUUUUGUAUUUUGAGCCUGUUUUGAGUCUUUUAGGUGGUUUAAGAGUUGUCGUAGUGUAAUUUAGUUUGUUGAGUCUCUCAUUAUCGUACUAUCUGUUUUGUAUUUGAAAAACCAAAAAAAUUUAUAAAUGAAAAAUCCAAAAAGAUUUAUUUUA